CGAAAGCCUGACGGAGCAACGCCGCGUGAGGGAUGAAGGCCUCUGGGCUGUAAACCUCUUUUAUCAAGGAAGAAGAUCUGACGGUACUUGAUGAAUAAGCCACGGCUAAUUCCGUGCCAGCAGCCGCGGUAAUACGGGAGUGGCAAGCGUUAUCCGGAAUUAUUGGGCGUAAAGCGUCCGCAGGCGGCCUUGUAAGUCUGUCGUUAAAGCGUGGAGCUUAACUCCAUUUCAGCGAUGGAAACUACAAGGCUUGAGUGUGGUAGGGGCAGAGGGAAUGCCCGGUGUAGCGGUGAAAUGCGUAGAUAUCGGGAAGAACACCAGUGGCGAAGGCGCUCUGCUGGGCCAUAACUGACGCUCAUGGACGAAAGCCAGGGGAGCG
rnacentral:rRNA from 1 species